rnacentral:snRNA from 1 species
AUCGCUUCUCAGUCUUUUGGCUAAGAUCAAGUGUAGCAUCUGUUCUUAUCAGUUUAAAAUGGUACAGCCAUGUAGGAAAAAAUUCAGUAGUUUCUCAACAAUUUAAAUGUAGAAUUAUCACAUGGCCUGGCAAUUUCAUUCUAGGUACUAUAUAAACCCA